GAUGAACGCUGGCGGCGUGCCUAAUACAUGCAAGUCGAGCGAACAGACGAGGAGCUUGCUCCUCUGACGUUAGCGGCGGACGGGUGAGUAACACGUGGAUAACCUACCUAUAAGACUGGGAUAACUUCGGGAAACCGGAGCUAAUACCGGAUAAUAUAUUGAACCGCAUGGUUCAAUAGUGAAAGACGGUUUUGCUGUCACUUAUAGAUGGAUCCGCGCCGCAUUAGCUAGUUGGUAAGGUAACGGCUUACCAAGGCAACGAUGCGUAGCCGACCUGAGAGGGUCAUCGGCCACACUGGAAGUGAGACACGGUCCAGACUCCUACGGGGGGCAGCAGUAGGGAAUCUUCCGCAAUGGGCGAAAGCUGGACGGAGCAACGCCGCGUGAGUGAUGAAGGUCUUCGGAUCGUAAAACUCUGUUAUUAGGGAAGAACAAAUGUGUAAGUAACUAUGCACGUCUUGACGGUACCUAAUCAGAAAGCCACGGCUAACUACGUG
rnacentral:rRNA from 1 species